rnacentral:rRNA from 1 species
GAUCAUUAGGGGUUCUGAGAGGAUUAUCCCCCACACUGGUACUGAGACACGGACCAGACUCCUACGGGAGGCAGCAGUGAGGAGUAUUGGUCAAUGGGCGCAAGCCUGAACCAGCCAUCCCGCGUGCAGGAUGACGGCCCUAUGGGUUGUAAACUGCUUUUAUUUGCCAAGAAUGGUUACUACGUGUAGUAAUUUGACGGUAGCAAACGAAUAAGGACCGGCUAACUCCGUGCCAGCAGCCGCGGUAAUACGGAGGGUCCAAGCGUUAUCCGGAUUCAUUGGGUUUAAAGGGUGCGCAGGCGGGCUUGUAAGUCAGUGGUGAAAUUCUGCCGCUUAACGGUAGAACUGCCAUUGAUACUGCAAGUCUUGAAUAUGGUUGAGGUAGGCGGAAUGUGUUGUGUAGCGGUGAAAUGCAUAGAUAUGACACAGAACGCCAAUUGCGAAGGCAGCUUACUAAGCCAUUAUUGGCGCUGAGGCACGAAAGCGUGGGGAGCGAACAGGAUUAGAUACCCUGGUAGUCCACGCCGUAAACGAUGUUCACUCGCUGUCUGCGAUACACAGUAGGCGGCUGGGCGAAAGCAUUAAGUGAACCACCUGGGGAGUACGAUCGCAAGGUUGAAACUCAAAGGAAUUGACGGGGGCCCGCACAAGCGGAGGAACAUGUGGUUUAAUUCGAUGAUACGCGAGGAACCUUACCUGGGCUUAAAUGUAGGUUGCAUAGAUUAGAGAUAGUCUUUCCCUUCGGGGCUACCUACAAGGUGCUGCAUGGUUGUCGUCAGCUCGUGCCGUGAGGUGUCGGGUUAAGUCCCAUAACGAGCGCAACCCCUAUCGUUAGUUGCUAGCAGGUAAUGCUGAGGACUCUAGCGAGACUGCCACCGUAAGGUGAGAGGAAGGUGGGGAUGACGUCAAAUCAGCACGGCCCUUAUGUCCAGGGCCACACACGUGUUACAAUGGCAGGUACAAAGGGCAGCUACACAGCGAUGUGAUGCUAAUCCCUAAAGCCUGUCCCAGUUCGGAUUGGAGUCUGCAACCCGACUCCAUGAAGUUGGAUUCGCUAGUAAUCGGAUAUCAGCAAUGAUCCGGUGAAUACGUUCCCGGGCCUUGUACACACCGCCCGUCAAACCAUGGAAGCUGGGGGUGCCUGAAGUCUGUGACCGCAAGGAGCGGCCUAGGGUAAAACUAGUAACUAGGGUUAAGUCGAAACAAGGUA